rnacentral:lncRNA from 1 species
GACAGCAUUUCCCAGUUUUCCUUCAACAAAUGGAAUCCAUGAGAUUGAUGUCGGCUCCAGACUGUGCAGGCAGCACCAGGCAGAGAAGGGGGCACAAACAGGAGGGUGUGAGAAGAAGGAAUUUGGGACAGCAAAAGGAAAAACAAUUCUCUAUAAAGAAACCUCAGAAGAAACAUAAAGAGAGGUGCCAGAGGAGAGGAAAAUGGGGCCUCAGCAGGACAGAAAGGCACCAAACAUCAGAGCCUGGGAGCAGCUGAGAGCAGUGUGCCUGCCCUAAAGGGACAAGGAAACAACCUCACCAGAACCUUGCAGGGCAGGAGCUGUGGGGACAAUCACCUCCUCCUGGGCUGUUAGGACACCAAGGAUGGCUGUGAACAGGACUGAGGUUCCUGAAUAUUCCUGGUGGAGGGGUUGGAAACCCUUGCUGGCUGUCCCUGUAGCUCUGGGAGGCUCAGGACAUGAAUGACACAACUGAUGCUCCCAAGCACCCCACAGGUCUGUCCUGAGGGCAGUGAUCCAAAGACAGUGGCUCUCUGAAGCCCUUUGAGAUGGCAGCAGCCAAAGAGCAGGACUUGGAAUUACCCCCAGAGACAAACAAGGACUGGGCACCCUCAAACCUGCAUUUAGGAGAAAGUCACAGCACCAGAGCAUCCCAUGGGCACCACAAAUGUAAGGUACAGCACUG